rnacentral:rRNA from 1 species
GAUGAACGCUGGCGGCAGGCUUAACACAUGCAAGUCGAGGGGCAGCAUGAGACGGAGAUUCGUCAAAGUCUUGAUGGCGACCGGCGCAAGGGUGCGUAACGCGUGAGCAACUUGCCCGUUUCAGGGGGAUAACCGGUGGAAACGCCGACUAAUACCCCAUAGUAUCAUUUUAAGGCAUCUUUUAAUGAUUAAAGAAUUUCGGAACGGAUAGGCUCGCGUGACAUUAGCUAGAUGGUGAGGUAACGGCUCACCAUGGCGACGAUGUCUAGGGGUUCUGAGAGGAAGGUCCCCCACACUGGAACUGAGACACGGUCCAGACUCCUACGGGAGGCAGCAGUGAGGAAUAUUGGUCAAUGGUCUGACGACUGAACCAGCCAUGCCGCGUGAAGGUCACGGCCCUAUGGGUCUUAAACUUCUUUUGUAAAGGGAGCAAUAAGUCUCACGUGUGGGAUGAUGAGAGUACCUUACGAAUAAGCAUCGGCU